rnacentral:tRNA from 1 species
GCCGCGGUGGUGGAAUUGGUAGACACGCCAGAUUUAGGAUCUGGUGCACUUAGUGCGUGAAGGUUCGAGCCCUUUCCGCGGUAC